GACCUAGUAGCGGAGGGACCGCGCCUGCUUUCAGUGUGUACGAAUAGAAGUCUCAAGUAAAAGUUCCUGGUUCGACUCCAGGCUGGGUCA